AUGGCGCCCACAACACACUGGAACCCCAGGCGGGUUUGCUGUCUUCUGGAAAUGACAGCUGCCUGCGUUGCCUCUCCUGCCGAGGGCCCACUCAGCAGACGGCAGUCACCUGCCACCCAAGCCGUCACAGCAGCCAGGCUUCUAGGACACCUGGUCUAUGACGAGUGGCACCUCCUCCUCCACUGGGGUGGACUGGAAUCCUCACCUGUGAAUGACACUGGAGUCCGGCGUGAGUCAUGCUGUCCGAGCCAUGGCUUGGUGCAGGAGCCUGCACAUGAGGUGGCCUGCCGUUCUGCCUUCUGCCCCCUCCAGGGCACCACAGGCCCCAGAGAGAUUCGAGGAGGAGGGGCUCUGGGUGCCAGAGGAGGAGGAGGGGCAGGGAGGAGGUGCUGCCUGGAGCAGAAGUGGAGGACCCUCUGCCAGUGCAGCGCCCACCACUGGCUCCUACAGGAGGGAGGCUCGGGUGCAAGGUUUCGUCCUGAGCCUCUGGGAGUGGUGACAAGUGGCCCUGCACUUACGGGAACAGACUCAGCCUGGACUGGCUCCCGACCGUUUCCUUUCCCCAGUUCUUGGUGCACACCCACCCAGGACACAGGGACGCUGCCUCGGCACCAGGAGAAAACCGAUGCCUGGUGGGAUGGAGAAGGCACAUCGGAUGGCAGCUCCACCAGGUGUGAGCUGUGUGAUCCAUCCAGAGAAGCCUCUGAGCCUCAGUUGUUUCAAGGACAAAUCAAGCUUUUCCAGAGCAUUCCCCACAGAUGCCUGGUCUUUUCCACUUCCUCUGAGCUACCCGAUUAAAUCCCCAGACCUCCUCACUCAAGAAGGUGGCAGUGGGAGGAAGUGUCAACUACUCAGCUCCUACUUCGGAGUCUCUCAUUUUCUCAUGCACCAUCCAGUUAAAAUCCUAUUAGAUCUGAAGUAAUGUUUAAGAAAAACAUUAAUUUUUUCUGGGUCUUAUUUGUCUGUCCACAUCUUUAUCCCCUGUGACUGGUUAGAAGGACUCAGGGAGGUUCUUUGUCUCUUAAACCACCGUGGUGUGUGCUUGUGCAUGUGUGUGCACAUGGAUUUAAGGGUGAUAAACAGGAGUGACUUGGGGCUCAGCAUAUGUAAGGACCAAGUGACUAUAUGAGGUUGUGGGUAUUUUUUUAAAGCCCGAUUUCAGUUGGUUCCCAUGUCCAGGUGACACUGGUUUGCACAGCUCUGUUAUUCAGGGCACAUGGGGAAACUGGGCUAAGAAAUGAAUCUGCAGCCUGGAACGAGCCCAGUAAAUCUCAGUAAGAACACCUCCCCUGACAGCCCCAUCAGGACCCUCACCCUGUGGCUUCCCUGCCCCAGUGCUCUAAGACGUUGUUGUGGGUCUUAGGGAGCCUGAUUGCACAGGGAAGUGCUUUCACAGAAACCUGUCCACACAAAGCCUCCCUUUAGGGGGACCCCAGCUCCCAGACGCCCAAGCUCACACCAGCCGAGGCUCCUAAAUCAGGGGGUGAAAACUGAUGGUGAGGAAGCACAGCAGACAUUAACACCAGCAAACGUUCAGCCUCACUGGCUAUCAAAAGAAAACACAGCCUUUUCACUUUAUCUCUAACACCUGGGGAGACAGAGUGGCCGGUGUGGCUGGUGUUAUCCAACGCCCCAUGGACUGUGGAGUGGGGCAAGUUAGAAAAACACUCUUGCUUGGCCAUUCAGCANNNNNNNNNNNNNNNNNNNNNNNCAGCAGGACACAUUCAGAACCAUGAGCUCUUCAUACCCGACAGCGCUGCAUUUCUCUUCAUCAGUGCGGAAAAUGAGGAAAUAACUCAGCAGAAAAGGAGAAAUUCCUGACCUGCCUGAAAGUCAGCCAGCCCGCAUGUCCUACAGUGUAACAUCCUGGUGUGCAGAUGCUUCUGUUCACAGACAGUGGGCUCACACACACAAGCGUUCAGCAAAUUCUGCUUCUGUUCAUGAAUUCUGCAUCAGGAGACAAACACGACUGUGGCCGUCUUCCGAAGAAUCUUAGAAGGAUUUCAGACCGUGAACCGAAGUACCACUGUAGUAUGGAAAGAUGGGAAUGCCUUUCUGCAAUGGAAAUCGUUAAGGAAGUUUACUCAAUUAUCACAUGGCCACUCACUGAGGUAUUACAUGGUUAUUAAAAAGUGAUUCUGAAGAUCACAGAAACAAAAAUGUGUCUGACAUAAUGUUAAGAUAAAUGAGGUCACAAAGCU
rnacentral:lncRNA from 1 species